GUGAAGAUUUGGGCAGGCCAUACGGACGCCAAAAAGUGUCCCUGGCCGCCUACACCCACUAUACAUCCACAAACCCGUGUGCACUGUCUUGGAGAAAGGCUUCAGAGAAGUUUUUUGUGGCCUCUCUCCGGUUAAUUACAAACUCGUAUGGAUUUGUAUGAACGUGAGAUAUAUCGUUGGACCGUCACUGGCCAACAAAUAUAACA
rnacentral:misc_RNA from 1 species